rnacentral:tRNA from 1 species
GUAGCUCAGUGGUAGAGUGCUUGCCUGGCAUGCACAAGGCCCUGGGUUUGACCCCCAGC